GACGAACGCUGGCGGCGUGCUUAACACAUGCAAGUCGAACGCUGAAGCUCAGCUUUUGUUGGGUGGAUGAGUGGCGAACGGGUGAGUAACACGUGAGUAACCUGCCUCCUUCUUUGGGAUAACGCCCGGAAACGGGUGCUAAUACUGGAUAUUCACUGGUCUUCGCAUGGGGGUUGGUGGAAAGGGUUUUUCUGGUGGGGGAUGGGCUCGCGGCCUAUCAGCUUGUUGGUGGGGUGAUGGCCUACCAAGGCUUUGACGGGUAGCCGGCCUGAGAGGGUGACCGGUCACAUUGGGACUGAGAUACGGCCCAGACUCCUACGGGAGGCAGCAGUGGGGAAUAUUGCACAAUGGGCGCAAGCCUGAUGCAGCGACGCCGCGUGAGGGAUGGAGGCCUUCGGGUUGUGAACCUCUUUCGCUCAUGGUCAAGCCGCAACAAUGGUUGUGGUGAGGGUAGCGGGUAAAGAAGCGCCGGCUAACUACGUG
rnacentral:rRNA from 1 species